AUGCAAAAAGAUUCCUAACCAAAGCUCUAAGUCUUUGACAGUGAGUCCUGCAGCUGGAUUAGAAGAUUAAAUGACAACACACUGCUCAGCUUUAGUGACCUGAGAAAGGGGAAAAAUGAUAGACAGUGCAAAUUCCAGAAGCAGACUUUCAUAGGAAGACAGCCUUCCUUUAUUCAUUCAAAGUUAUCAAAACUGAUUUACAGCCAGAUUUCCACAAACUUCUGGGAUGUAUAUCUGUUUCAUAAUCAAUAAUGUUUAAAACUUACACAUCCCACCAAUUUAAGAAAAAUUCAAAUACCAGACCAUUAUCACGUCCUUAGAUCAGCGCCCUUGCAUCGACCUGAGAGGAGAAUUAGAUGUUUGUUUGGCUUACAUUUGUUUUGGUUCACAAACAAUGAGUUAGGAUCAAACCAGAAAUUAGCAAGAUCCAGGUCUCUUCUGGAUGUUUCUGGAUCUGUGUCAAGGCAACACUCCAUGGUGAGGAGCACAACAGUUAUGUGAAGUCCAGAUGCAGCGGCUCCUACUUAUAACAACGUGUUUCAACCCAGCAGCGUAGGCCAGGCUGCAGAAUGCUCUGCGACCGGGUUCCUGCCACCCGCGUCCCAGCCUGCUCUGCAGGCCGUCUGCUCCCUUAGCGUCCUUUGUGCAGAAUAUACCGGCUGCCGGGAUUCGAGAGUCACCUUUGCACUUUUCAACACCCUACACCCGCCAAAGGUGCCGAAUGAAUCAGAGCGGGCAAUACACCUUCGGUACCUUCAUUGUGCCAGGGCCUGGCACAACGCCUGGCACAUGCCAGGUGUUCAGUAGACAUUGUAAGGGCGAACAGUGACCAAUGGACACAACUGCUGCCCAAGAAGAAAGAAAGUGGGGAAGUUAAGAAAGCUGGAUGAGAAUUCAGCUGGGGUGUGGGAGGAAAUUCCCACUACACAUGGGAAGUGACACUAAUCUCAUUGGGGCAAAAGAGAAGAGAAAGUUCACCCAAGUAAAAAACCACAGUUCUUGGCGGUAAUAAACAAGAUGAAGCCAAUGUCACCGCAGGUUCUGCUAAAACAGGAAUCUAAUCUUAAAGGUUCACCUUACCUCAGGGUAAAGCGAACAAUUUCAUUUUCUAUUUACCUUCAAACAAAACUGACAUUUUCGAAAAACCAGUUAACAUACACGGAGGGGCACAGGACACACUUACUAUCCCAGGGAGUGCAAGGCAGUAGGGGCGUGAGCGGGAGGCCCAGAAGUGCGACCCCGGCCGCGGCGGCUGGACACCGCUGCCUUCCCCCGGGGAGCCCCGCACCUCGGGGAAAGUCACGCGCAUUAGCUUUCCCCCGCGGCGGAGGACCGCGGAGCUCCAGGCAGCACAGGCCGAAGCUGUUUGGUACUGUUGCCAAGGAAACGGCGCGGGGCAUUUUGGGAAGUCGGGGCAAGGCGGUCAUCAGGCGGAAGCGUCCCCGGACUCAAGAAGGCGGGGCAAGAGAGGGGGCGGGCGAGCCCAGCUUCCCUAAGGAGACGGAAGCGCUCCGGAGCGGACGUCCCGGCCUUUUUCAGCAGCCCCGCGCCUGCGGUCCCUCGAGCGCCGUCUCCCACAGCCGGCCGCCCGCCCGCGGCGCCACGGAGCCUGGCUUCCAGGUGACGUCAGAACCGGGAUUUCCGGUCCGCCCCAGGCCGGCUCCGGUGCGGGUAGUUCUUCAGUCUGUCAUCAUGGGGAUCCGUGGACUAAUGAGUUUUGUGGAAGAUCAUGGUAAUGAGUUCUUCAUUGAUUUGAAGUUGCGGGACACAAAAAUUAUCAUAGAUGGCUAUGCACUUUUCCACCGACUUUGCUUCAAUUCAAACUUGGAGCUCCGUUAUGGAGGAGACUAUGAUUCUUUUGCAGAGGUUGUAGAAAAAUUCUUUGAGUCACUGUUUGCGUGUAAUAUAUGUCCAUAUGUCAUACUAGAUGGAGGAUGUGACAUUUCUGAUAAAAAGCUUACAACUUUAAAGGAUCGAGCUAGAGAGAAGAUCCAGAUGGCCCAUUCCCUUUCUGUUGGUGGGGGUGGAUAUGUGUGUCCCUUACUCAUCCGGGAAGUGUUCAUACAGAUUUUGAACAAACUGCAAGUAUGUUUUGUCCAGUGCUUUUCAGAAGCAGAUCAGGAUAUUAUGACGCUUGCCAAUCACUGGAAUUGCCCUGUGCUAUCGUCCGAUAGUGACUUUUGCAUUUUUGAUUUGAAAACUGGGUUUUGCCCAUUGAAUAGCUUUCAGUGGAGAAAUGUGAACACUAUUCAGGGGACCAAAACGUACUAUAUUCCUGCCAAAUGCUUUUCUCUUGAUGCCUUCUGCCAUCACUUCAGCAAUAUGAACAGAGCUCUGCUACCACUCUUUGCAGUGCUGUGUGGAAAUGAUCAUAUUAAUCUGCCUAUUGUGGAGACAUUCAUAAGUAAAGUAUGCCUUCCUCUUAGAGCUACUAGUUCUAAGGGGAGGAGACAUCGCCGAGUUCUGGGAAUUCUGCAGUGGUUGUCUCACUUUGCCGACCUUAGUGAAGCACUAGAUAAUGUUCUCAAACAUCUGCCAAAAAAGGAUCGAGAAAAUGUUAAGGAACUUCUCUGCUGCUCCAUGGAGGAAUACCAGCAGUCCCAGGUGAAGCUGCAGGACUUCUUCCAGAACGGUGCUUUUAUCUGUCCAGAUGCCAUGAAUCUGGGUUUACCAGAAUGGGUGUUGGUGGCUUUGGCUAAAGGCCAGCUAUCCCCUUUCGUUAGUGAUGCUUUGGUGUUAAGGCGGACCAUUCUUCACACACAAGUAGAAAACAUGCAGCGACCAAAUGCCCACAGAAUCUCUCAACCCAUCCGGCAGAUUAUUUAUGGGCUGCUUUUGAAUGCUUCAUCACAUCCAGAAAACAUGUCCCAGAAUACAUUGCCAUCUCAGCGUCUAGCUUUCAGUGAAGUGGAAAGGAUUAAUAAAAAUAUCAAAACAUCAAUUGUUGACGCAGUAGAACUGCCCAAGGACUAUUCUGACUUGAGCAAACUGACCAAGCUGUCCUUGGUGAGGCGGCAGAUGCUUCUGUUAGAAACUCUGAAGGUGAAACAGACUGCCCUGGACCCCGUCCCGCUUGCUUUGAAGUUGCCCAUUGCUGUCACUUGCUACUGGUUGCAGCACACGGAGACCAAGGCAAAGCUGUAUCAUCUACAAGCUCUGCUGCUGGGCAUGCUGACGGGCCCCUUGCAUGCCAUAAUCAACAGUUCUGUGCUGGAGUGUAGUUUACUUUUUAAAAAGAAUAAACAAUGAGCAAAUUAGCAUGGACCAAAAAACACCCCAAGUAUUAAGGCUUACAUGUGACAGCAGCCUUCAGAUGGACUGCUAUGAAGGACAGCAUCUUAACAUGAAACAGGACCCACUCGUGUCCCACAAACACAGGCCAAGAGAAUUUCCUCUCUGGAUAAUAGGUACAGUAUAGGGAAACUCUCAGAGCAUGAGGUAUCAAGUUUUACCUGAGUCCUACAGAAGGGACAUGUCAAGGGUCUAUUUCUUUUCUUUUAGGAAAUACGGAAUCCGCACCCAGGCAGGCACAGUGCCUCACUGCUCGCUAGCUCGUGAAAGGUAAGGAAGAUCUGCGGGGAGGUGGUGCUAAGA